GUUGCCAACAAUCAUGUCACAGUUCUUCGAAUAGUGGUCCAGGAUGUCGAACAGUUCCAGGGCUGUCAGUCUCCCAGAGAAGAUACUCCUCAUCUUGGACUGGAGAAAGUCAUCCGAUGUGCUGCUGUUAAAGAUCCCUGGGUAGCGCUUAAGUCUAUAGUGAUUAGAUGGAGGAAUCUCUCUGCCCUCAGAGAGGAGAAACACUGUCUGGUGACCUUGGUCAUGCAAGGCUGAGGCCAGAGUCUUGAAAAUAUAAAGAUGGCUUUCAAACAUAAUUGGCGGCACAACAACAAUUUUGGCAGCCCUCGCUAUCCCAACAGCGCUCCACAGGAGGAUGAAAACUGAAGUGUACGGCUUCAUAGCGCUGUCUCCUCGGGGGCCGUUUCUCCGCGUUGCUGCCUCUGG
rnacentral:lncRNA from 1 species